rnacentral:lncRNA from 1 species
AGCUAGGAUUUCAUUAAAGAUUAACGCUCCAAUAUUCGUUAGUGUCUCUUAAGGUUUUUGGUGGGACAUUUUGACAGGGAGAUGAUGAUUGAGUACUCAAAGGAAGUGAUGAAAUUAGGUAAAUUGCUCUUUGAGCUUCUGUCAGAAGCUCUAGGGUUAAACACUAGUCACCUCAAGGACAUGGAUUCAGUGCCGGCCCGGAGGACAUGCCACCCAAGCCACCGCUUGGGGCACCACUUUUUUUUUUUUUUUUUUAAGGUUUUUCUUUUUUUUUUUUGGAAAAAAGGCCCAAUUUUAGAAAAAAAAAAAGAAUUAAGCCUAUAAAAUGAAAAUAUUUGGUAGAAACUAAAGCCUUUUCGAAAAAAAUAAAUAAAAUAGGGCCCAAACAAUUAAAUUUGAAUGUAAUAAUAUUCAAAAUAUCAUUAUUUUGUAUAAUUUACUAAAAAUAGGUCAAAAAAAAUUUUUUAACCCUAAAACUUAUAAAUAUAUUGGGCCUCAUUUUAUUUUUCGUGUAGGGCCUCACAAAUGCUCGGACCGGCACUGCAUGGAUUGCACCAACUCCUUGCUGUUGCUCGGCCAUUAUUACCCGCCAUGUCCCCAACCCGACCUUACUUUAGGUUUGACCAAACACUUCGACAACUCUUUUCUCACUAUUCUUCUUCAAGACCAUAUCGGAGGGCUUCAAGUUCUCCAUGACCAAUAUUGGGUUGAUGUUCCUCCUGUUCCCGGAGCUCUUGUUGUUAACGUUGGAGAUCUUCUUCAGGUUAACUAACUAAUUAACCCUUUUGGUUUAUUUAUCAGUGGAGUUAAUCUAUGGACUAAGUUUGAUUAAUUAUAAUGGGGCAUAUAACAAACGACAAGUUCAAAAGUGUGGAGCAUAGGGUUUUGGCGAAUGUAGCUGGACCAAGAAUUUCAGUGGCUUGUUUCUUCAGUUCGUAUUUGAUGGCGAAUCCUCGAGUUUAUGGACCCAUCAAAGAUAUUUUGUCAGAACAAAAUCUGUAAAUGCAAGAGCUACUAAGUUUUGAAUUAGUUCACGAUGUAACUCUGAAUUUCUCAAAAACUCUUUCGAUUAAUAGAAAAUAUGUUUACAAGGUUUCUCCUUUAACACUAUUUUCUAUUCUCACUAAGUCUUGUUCUUUAAUCACAGACCGAUUAAGAACAAUAACUCUCCUUAAAACCCUUAGCUCUCUUUAAGCCUCUAGUUCUCUAUUUCUCUCAAACUAAGACUUAAUAGCUAGGAAUUCUCUCUAGUGAUUGUGCUAAGCUUUCUGCAAGCCUUAGCACUCCUACUUAUACUAAAUAGGUUGAGACCAUACAACAGGUCGAUUUCCAAUUCUAAAACUAAUUGGAAUGGACAAUUUCCUUUUUCUUUAUGGAAUAGGAAAUUGUCCUUUGUCUUCAUGUUUUCCUUUUCUUCUUGUAAAAGGAAACUCUUCAGUCUUCUAGAAUCUUCUCUAAGCUUCUAGUCUUCACUUCAAACCGCCAAAACAAGAUUCUGCAUAUUUCCUUAAUCUUGUUCAUGUUGCUCUGUUCUCUAGAGUUACUUCUUGUCUUAGUUCAGGUACUCCUUCAGAGGCUGCAUCUUCAAAAUCCUCCCAAAUAUAGAGACACCACCAUUACGGAGUAUGCAAAGUUCUACAGAUCCAAAGGAUUCGAUGGUACCUCUGGAUUACUCUAUCUCAAGAUCUGAGAAUAUCACUUGUCUAAUAAAGGUGCUUGGGACUUUGAUUUCCUCGCUGUAAUAACUUCUUCUUUAAUAUAUCUCUGUCAAAGCCACUGGGCUAGAACUGUCACAGGCCGUUGUUUUUUCUAUCAUGUAGAGUCACUUAAAAGGAUUCUUCGAAGUUUUAAAAAGGUUUAUCUCCUGGUUAAUUAGAAAAUCAAUAUUCGUUCUAGACAGAUGUGUCAUAUGUGAUUGCUAUUUGUUUUAACCUGAAUGAAUAUAACUUACUAAAUUUCUAAAGCCAUAAAAGCAAUAUUGCUACAACUUCAAUUUGUAAAGAUAAGAAAAAAAUCAUGCAGUUUUGAAAUCAAGUGUUCCUAUUUAAUAUAUUUUCUAGAAUAAUUUGAGGUAACAUGAUUAUUUGAUAGUUCUUGUGAUUGAAAUUUGUAAUUUUUUACAUUGUUUCUCUCUUGCAUUAACUGGUUUUUGAGAUACAUAAGAAAAUUAAUGUUUUGACUUUCUUACCCAAGAUGACAUGUUCAAAGAUGCACAUGUAUACAUCAUAGUAAAAUGCAAAGUAACCUAUCUUAUCAUUUGUAUAAUAAAAUGCUUGUGAUAUAUAUACCUUUUUUUCUAUCAACUUUAUCUCUUAUCAAUGGUCCCAUCUUGGAACACAAGAAACACGAGUAAUAUAUACCUUUUGUUUUGUGGGUUAGGUAAAGUGUCGGUGGGUGCUUAUGUUAUAUAUGAUUGUAUCAGAUUGCUCUAUCUGUCUUUAUGAGAGACAAAAACGAUGGAGACGAAGAAGAUUGCUUCAUUUGAUCGUGCCAGUGAGCUUAAAGCUUUCGAUGAGAGCAAGACUGGUGUGAAAGGACUCGUUGACGCUGGAAUCUCACAGAUUCCACGCAUUUUUCAUCACUCAUCUGUCGAACUAGCAGACCCUAAACCACUUCCCUCGGAGUUGCUACAUCUAAAGACGAUCCCAACGAUCAAUCUCGGAGGACGGGUCUUCGAGGACGCGAUUAAGCACAAGAACGCGAUUGAAGGGAUUAGAGAAGCGGCUGCGAAGUGGGGUUUCUUCCAAGUGAUUAACCAUGGAGUUUCGCUCGAUCUUCUUGAGAAGAUGAAAGAUGGAGUUCGUGACUUUCAUGAGCAACCCCCUGAAGUGAGGAAAGAAUUGUAUAGCCGCGAUUUCAACAGAAAGUUUAUGUAUUUAAGUAACUUCGAUCUCUACAGUGCUCCAGCUGCAAAUUGGAGAGACACAUUCUAUUGUUACAUGGCUCCAGAUCCUCCAAAACCAGAGGAUCUGCCAGAGAUUUGUAGGUAUGAGCCUUGGACCUUGGUCAAAGUUCCAACAAAUCUCUUAUUUGCCUUAGUUUAUGCAAACACCCUCUUAGACACAUUCAAACCAUGCUUUUGGAAAAGCUUUUGUGAAUACGUAAGCAACUUUGGUCGUUUUAAUUGUGCAGUAAAUCAACUUUAAUAUCUCUAUCCUUUCAGGGAUGUUAUGAUGGAAUACUCAAAGCAAGUGAUGAUUUUGGGUGAAUUUCUCUUUGAGCUUUUGUCAGAAGCUCUAGGGCUGAACCCUAAUCACCUCAAGGACAUGGAUUGCCUAAAGGGUUUGCGCAUGCUUUGCCAUUACUUCCCACCGUGUCCAGAGCCUGACCUAACUUUUGGCACAAGUCCGCACUCCGACAGCUCUUUUCUUACCAUCCUCCUUCCAGAUCAGAUCAAAGGGCUUCAGGUUCUUCGUGAAGGGUACUGGUUCGAUGUUCCUCAUGUUCCAGGCGCUCUCAUCAUCAACAUCGGAGAUCUUUUACAGGCAUGUUUACCAAUGCUUUCUUUUCCUCAGUUUUGCAUUCUAUAGAUAAUCUUCCCUUUAACUCAAAGUUUCUUUUGGGGGUUUGUGAUUUUGAUGCAGCUUAUAACAAACGACAAAUUCAUCAGUUUGGGGCAUCGAGUAUUGGCGAACAGAGCCACAAGAGCUCGAGUCUCUGUCGCAUGUUUCUUCACCACCCAUGUAAAACCCAAUCCUAGAGUGUAUGGACCCAUUAAAGAGCUUGUGUCCGAAGAAAACCCUCCAAAGUACAGAGAGACCACCAUUACAAACUACGCUACUUACUUCAAUGGCAAAGGACUUGGCGGAACCUCUGCUUUGCUCCAUUUUAAAGUAUGAAACAUGGCGAGCUACUACUUUCUCAAACAUAUACGACAUGACAGUAUAUGUAACAUGUUGGAAUUAUGUGAACCAAAUGUGGAAUUUAUGGAUUAUACUACAUUGUCAUUUCAGUUUGGUCCAUAUAAGGUGCAAUCGGAUAUGGUUAAUCGAUUAGAUGUCAAUAUUGGAUAUGAACAAGUUGGUUAUAUGCAUAUACACUAGAUUGGAUGGGUUGAAUUAUUAGAUGACAAUAUUUAAGAUUGGUUAAAUAAUGGUUCACUGGUUGGUUAAGUAAUGGUCUCUAGAUAUGUUUGCAUGUUUUCAUGAUUUGGUGUUAGUUCACUGUAAUUCAUGGAUUUAAAGGUCUUGGGAUUUUUUCAAGCAUGCAUAAGAUUAGUUGACGUUUUUUGCUUUAUCAUAAAAUCAUAAGGUUUUUGAAUCAUAUAUCAUGCAUGUUUCUGGAUUAAAAAUCACAAGAAAGCAUGUUUUUUUUGAAAAUAAAUUUAGUCUUUAAAGACCAUUUGUUGAAAACAAUAAAAGUUCCGUACUUAAUUCAAUUUCAAGAUAGUUAGGCGUAGAAUACAAGAAAGAAAACAAUUUUUUUGAAAGACAAGUGUUGUUUUCUUGUCUGAACAAAACCAACCCAAAUAUAGAGAGACACCACCAUUACUCCAUUACAGAGAAUGCAAACUUCGUUUUAUAUAUAUAUAUAUACUGUAUCAUUUUGACUAAUAAAGUUGCGUGGGAGAUUGAUUCUCUUAAUUCUGUAAUAACUUGUUGUUGACUAAAAGACUUGUCUGGUCCGCUCACUGCCACAAGCGGUUGUUUUUGUCUAUAAACCUUAUCUCUUACCAAUGGUUUUGCUGUAGCAACCGGUCACAUCUUUGAACUUAAGAAAAAUGUUUCAUUCUUGUUUUUAUAGAUUUUUAUGUUAUGCCUGAUUGUAUCAUAUUGUUCUGUUCUUCGAGAAACUAAAACUAUGGAGACGACGAAGAUUGCUUCUUCAUUCGAUCGUGCCAGUGAGCUCAAAGCUUUUGAUGAGACAAAAACGGGUGUGAAAGGACUCGUCGACUCCGGAAUUUCACAGAUUCCACGCAUCUUCCAUCACUCAUCUGUCAAACUAGAGAACCCUAAGCCACUUUCCUCGGACUUGCUACAUCUCAAGACGAUCCCAACGAUCGAUCUUGGAGGACGGGUUUUCGAGGAUGCGAGUAAGCGCAAGAACGCGGUUGAAAGAAUUAAAGAAGCAUCAGAGAAGUGGGGUUUCUUCCAGGUAAUUAACCAUGGAGUUCCACUUGAUCUUCUUGAGAAGAUGAAAGAUGGAGUUCGUGGGUUUCACGAGCAAUCCCCUGAAGUGAGGAAAGAUUUCUACAGUCGCGAUUUAACUAGAAAGUUUCAGUAUUCAAGUAAUUUCGAUCUCUAUAGUUCUCCAGCUGCAAACUGGAGAGACACGGUUGCUUGUACCAUGGCUCCAGAUCCUCCGAAUCCACAAGAUAUUCCAGAGAUUUGUAGGUAUGACUCCAUUGCUUUAACUUUAUUUGAUGUGUAAUCUCUAUUCAUAUAUGGUGAAUUGUUUCAGGGAUGUCACGAUGGAAUAUUCAGAGCAAGUGAUGAAUUUGGGUGAAUUUCUCUUUACGCUUUUAUCAGAAGCUCUAGGGUUGAACCCUAAUCACCUCAAUGACAUGGAUUGCUCUAAGGGUUUGGUCAUGCUUUGCCAUUACUACCCACCAUGUCCAGAGCCUGACCUAACUUUAGGCACAAGUCAGCACGCCGACAAUACUUUUCUUACCGUUCUUCUUCCAGAUCAGAUCGAAGGGCUUCAGGUUCUUCGUGAAGGGUAUUGGUUCAAUGUUCCUCAUGUUCCCGGAGCUCUAAUCAUCAACAUUGGAGAUCUUCUACAGGCAAGUUUGCACAACCAAUACAUUUUUGCUCUGUUUUGCACAAGUAUAAAUCUUCCUCUUGGUUCAAAGAUUUUUUAUUGGGAUUUUGAUGCAGCUUGUAACAAACGACAAGUUCAUCAGUUUGGAGCACAGAGUAUUGGCGAACAGAGCCACAAGAGCUCGAGUCUCUGUAGCAGGUUUCUUCACCACCGCCAUGAGACCGAAUCCUACACUGUACGGACCCAUUAGAGAGCUUGUGUCUGAAGACAACCCUCCAAAGUACAGAGAGACCACUAUUAGAGACUACACUGUUCACUUCAGUGCCAAAGGACUUGACGGAACCUCUGCUUUGCUCCAUUUUAAAAUAUGAAACAUGGCCAGCUAGCUUCUACUUUAUCACACAUAUAUGACAUGAUAUAUAUAUGUAACAUGUUGGAUAUGUGUGAACCACAUGCAUGUGGAAUUUAUGAAAUAAAGAUUGUUAUUUCGGUUUAGUCCAAAUAAGGUGUGAUUGGUUAUGGUGGUUAAAAGAUAUGUUUCUUUGUAGCUAUGAUUAAACUAUUACAGAGUAUGCAAAGUUCUACAGAUCCAAAGGAUUCGAUGGUACCUCUGGAUUACUUUAUCUCAAGAUCUGAGAAUGCCAUAUACUGUAUCAUUUUGUCUAACAGAUGCGUGAGACUAAUUUGAUUUUUUUCUUUUCUGUAAUAACCUCUUGUUAAUUACUUAAGUCUGCUCCAGUCACUGUCACAAGCGGUUGUUUUUGUCAAGCAACCUUAUCUCUAAUCAAUGGUUUUGCUGUAUCAACUGGUCCAAUCUUUGAACUUAAGAAAAAAGUUUCUUUCUUGUUUUUAUGGAUUCUUAAGUUAUGUGGGAUUGUAUCAUAUUGUUCUGUUUUUCGAGAAACUAAAACUAUGGAGACGACGAAGAUUGCUUCUUCAUUCGAUCGUGCCGGUGAGCUUAAAGCUUUCGAUGAAACGAAAACGGGUGUGAAAGGACUCGUUGACGCAGGAGUUUCACAAAUUCCGCGCAUCUUUCAUCAUCCAUCUGUCAAAUUAUCAAACCAUAAACCACUUUCCUCAGACUUGGUACAUCUCAAGACGAUCCCAACGAUUGAUCUAGGAGGAAGGAUCGUUGAGGACACGAGCAAGCGCAAGAACGCGAUUGAAGGGAUUAAAGAAGCAGCAGAGAAGUGGGGUUUCUUCCAGGUGAUCAACCAUGGAGUUUCGCUUGAUCUUCUUGAGAAGAUGAAAGAUGGAGUUCGUGACUUUCACGAGCAAUCCCCUGAAGUGAGGAAAGAAUUCUAUAGUCGCGAUUUCAGCAGAAGGUUUCUGUAUUCAAGUAAUUUCGAUCUCUUCAGUUCUCCAGCUGCAAAUUGGAGAGACACUUUCUCUUGUACUAUGGCUCCAGAUACUCCAAAACCACAGGAUCUUCCGGAGAUUUGUAGGUAUGACUCCAUUGCCCUAACUUGAUUUCAUGUGUACUCUUUGUUCAUAUGGUGAAUCACUAAAUUGUUUCAGGGAUGUUAUGAUGGAAUACUCAAAGCAAGUGAUGAUUUUGGGUAAAUUUCUCUUUGAGCUUUUAUCAGAAGCUCUAGGGUUGGAACCUAAUCACCUCAAUAACAUAGAUUGCUCCAAGGGUUUGCUCAUGCUCUCCCAUUACUACCCACCGUGUCCAGAGCCUGACCUAACUUUUGGCACAAGUCAGCACUCUGACAACUCUUUCCUUACCGUCCUUCUCCCCGAUCAGAUCGAAGGGCUUCAGGU